AACAUGGCUGAAUCUGGAAGACAUUACACUAAGUGAAAGAACCCAAACACAGGAAUAUAAACACUGCAUGAUCUUGCUGGUAUAUAAAAUCAAAAAUUGUC